rnacentral:rRNA from 1 species
UUCUCGGAAGGGCCGUAUUUAUUAGAUAACAGACCAAUAUUCCUCGUGUCUAUUGUGGUGAGUCAUAGUAACUUUUCGGAUCGCAUGGGCUUUGUCCCGCGACAAACCAUUCAAGUUUCUGCCCCAUCAGCUUUCGAUGGUAGUGUAUUGGACUACCAUGGCUUUCACGGGUAACGGAGGAUUAGGGUUCGAUUCCGGAGAGGGAGCCUGAGAAACGGCUACCACUUCUAAGGAAGGCAGCAGGCGCGUAAAUUACCCAAUUCUAAUUCAGAGAGGUAGUG